GACGAACGCUGGCGGUAUGCUUCAUACAUGCAAGUCGAACGAUAAGGCCCUUCGGGGUACAUAGGUGGCGGACGGGUGAGUAACACGUAGAAAAUCUGCCUUAAGGAAGGGGACAACAGUUGGAAACGACUGCUAAUACCCUAUAUGAGCUAGACUGAAAUGUCUAUCUUGAAAGUUCCGGCGCCUUAAGAUGAGUCUGCGUCUGAUUAGCUUGUUGGUGGGGUAAUGGCUCACCAAGGCGACGACGGGUAGCCGGCCUGAGAGGGUGACCGGCCACACUGGGACUGAGACACGGCCCAGACUCCUACGGGAGGCAGCAGUGGGGAAUAUUGCACAAUGGGCGAAAGCCUGAUGCAGCAACGCCGCGUGAGGGAUGAAGGCCUUCGGGUUGUAAACCUCUUUUAGUUGGGAAGAAGCGAAAGUGACGGUACCAACAGAAAAAGCACCGGCUAACUACGUGCCAGCCGCCGCAGUAA
rnacentral:rRNA from 1 species